AUGGCCUUUUGUUUCUCGGCGUUUCCCCUAUUGUUCGCCUUUCUAACAUCUGGCGGGGCUCUGGAGACAAGGAAGCCCCUCUCGUCCUCCUCCCCCGCCCCCCUACGCCAGCCUCCCGGCAGGCUUGCGCCCGGGAGCCUGCCUGGGGAAGGCGAGGAGCCCGACCCCGGUGGGGCCGCCCCUCCCGGGCCUUGCGGUGAGAGGGCGGAGGGAAAGUUGUUCCUUCCCCGCCUCCUCCGCUGCCUGUGGCCCCGGGCGCAUUUCUCAGAUCUUAUCCCUAGCGCGCGGCGGAGCGCAGAUCCAGAAGGUGCCGCUCGCGGGAGAGAGUGGAAGCGAGGUGCUGCCCCAAUCCCGGGUGCCCCUUUCCUCUACAGGAGUUUGCUUUACCAGAGUGGGAACUUUUGAGCUUCCAUUUAAUAAAGAAGAACAAAGGAGACGAAGUCGGCAGAGAGGACACACAGAACACAUUCUCCAGUAAUUUCUGGAUGUUACCAGUGGGACCCACAGAAGAAAGAAAGCAAAAUGUUAGAAGCACCAGACGGCACUUUACAAAUAGUGCAUUAUGAAAAUGAUCCCCAGGAAGGAUUCCUUUGAAAUUUAGCAGCAGCAACACUAGAAAAGCAGGAAGCGCCUGAGUUGCUCGAGAAGUGUCUAAAAGCAUCAUUAACAAAGUGAAAGGGCAAUGUCUGUCCCAGUCUACUCCAGUAAAGAAAACAGGGUAAUUAUAGUGAGAGAUAAGCUUGUAUGACUUCUUUAAUUUUAGAAUUAGAAGAAGACCCUCCCCAGCAUUGAAAAAACAAAAAAAUACAGAGAUGAAAAUUAAAACAGAAGGAGGCGGGAUAUUAUAAAUAAGGCUCCAUCGAACGAUCUUAUCCAAUUGCUUACAUGGAUUUCUGGAGAUAGGAUAACUAGGUCUAAGGGGUUAAUGUACUUUUUUUUAAAUGACAUUUAAGAUUGCUAUAUUGUUCUGUAGGAAACUUGUGCCAGUUACCAUUUCCCUAUCAAUACAUGGGAUUUUUUUCUUCUGUACCCUGUACCCCACUGAUACUCUACGUUAUCUCUUUUUUUUUUAAAUCUCUACCAGACUGAUGAGAGGGCAGUAUCUUAUUACCUUCUUUUACAUUUCUCUAAUCACAAAUGAGAAUAAACAUUUUUCAUAUUGUCUGUUAGUAUUUCUUGUGAUGUUACCAGUUUGUGUCCUUACCUAUUUUUCAGUGAGAAUAUCCUCCUUUUUCUGACUAGUGGUGCUCUUAAUAAAAGCAUCCCAUUGUGACUUCUGCCCCUGCUGGUACAAUCAGACAAGCUUUAUUGGCUAGAAGUGCUGAUUUUCUUUCCUUCUGCAUUAUUGCAAACAUUUGACAAGACUGCAACUGCUAAAGUAACUGACAUGGUCCCAAGGUAUUAUUAGAGAAAUUCGUGGAAAACAUCAAAUGUGUACUUUCUGCUUUGUAGCUUGUAUGUCCCAAUUCCUUUAUAGCUUGUAAUGCUUUUUAAAAAUUUACAACACUUACUGAUGAGUUAUUGUUACUCAAUGGAUGAUAUGAACUUGUUUUAUUGUCUGAUCCUUCUACUGGUAACCAGUAUACUGUGAUCCACAACUAGUUCUUGUUCUUUUAAACGUUUCUUCUAACUUUUGAACUGAGUUUUAUUUUAAUACUUUCUCAGUACAACUGUGUUGGAGUUUAACUAUUCAACUACGGAUGAAUCUUGAGUCUAAACCGUUUAGCAGCGUGCUAUGAAAACAAUAGCAAGUAAAGGCCUUCCAAGAGUUGAACUGGAUACUCUCUGUGAUGUAUUUGGUUAGCCACAAUCUCUCUGUUAAUUCUUGCUUGAAGGUAGAUGAUUCUGAAAUGGGGUAGAAGGGAGAGAGAAAGGUAGAGAAAAUUCAUUUCAACUGGAAGGUGAAUUAAUACAGAUGAAGGACCACACAAGGAAAUUUAAGUAAAUAAUCUGCAUAAUCUAGGUACAAAAUAACUUUCAAAAAGAUAAAGUAUAUUAAAAUGUCGUGUAUGAGUAAGAAGAUUAGUUUACUUAACAAGCAGAAAGUGGCCUUCUAGUUGGAAAUAAUCCAGUGUGAAAUUCUUUCAUAGUCUAACCAUAGGUAUUUCAUUUCAGGUACAAAACAAACAAAAAAAAGACAGAUAUUAAACUUCUCUGCAGCAUUUUCCAUGCUUUUAAGUGUCAAAAUCACAUAAUAUGUAUUGGGAAUGAACAAUGCUCUUUGUAUUAGAAUCAUAAGCUCUUAAAGGUUAAAUGAGACUUUAAUGGUCAUCUCAUUAAACCAUCUAACAUCAUUACGGAUCUUCACUCUCUUACAGUAAUAAAAUACCAACCCGCAAACUUUCUAUCAUUUUAACCAAACCAGGCUGAGAAGCAAAUGGGUCCAAAAUUUCCAUUUUCUUAUUUUUGAGAGUAGGGAGACAGGAAAGGUUUUAACUCUAUGGGAUCUUGUACAGGCUCUUGUAACGUGCUGAACUUUCCUAGAAUAAACAAGCUUGGCAGCAAGAGAGUUANNNNNNNNNNNNNNNNNNNNNNNNNNNNNNNNNNNNNNNNNNNNNNNNNNNNNNNNNNNNNNNNNNNNNNNNNNNNNNNNNNNNNNNNNNNNNNNNNNNAACAAGCUUGGCAGCAAGAGAGUUAAGUCAUUGAGGUGUUAGAUUUUGCAGUAUUCUCUGAGCCAUGUGCUCUGGCCAUUGGUUUGAGGAGUUCAAAAGCAACAAAGCUAAGCAAGUACAAAAGAGCAAAAGGGAAGAGGAACAGAGAAUAAAAGAUGGGAGGGAAAGUCCUCCUCUAAAACUGUCUUCAGGACUUCCUAAUAAGACUCUUGAUCACCCAGGGGGUGGUAGGCAUCACCUUGUUUAGAGAGGUGAAUGUGGCUGAUGCUGCAAGGCCAAACUUCAGAAAAAAAUGACCAUUACCCAAAUCACCAAUAAUCCAGUCGAGGGGAGCCAUGGGACGGCACAACAAGCCUUAAAAAGAAGAUGAAGGAGGACGAGAAGGAAAACAAGAUUCUGGGAGAAACAGGAUUUUAAU
ensembl:lncRNA